rnacentral:rRNA from 1 species
UACGGAGGAUCCAAGCGUUAUCCGGAUUUAUUGGGUUUAAAGGGUGCGUAGGCGGCCUAUUAAGUCAGGGGUGAAAGACGGUGGCUCAACCAUCGCAGUGCCUUUGAUACUGAUAGGCUUGAUUACACUAGAGGUAGGCGGAAUGUGACAAGUAGCGGUGAAAUGCAUAGAUAUGACCCGGAACACCUAUUGCGAAGGCAGCAGGCUAAACAAAUAUUGACGCUGAGGCUCGAAAGCGUGGGGAUCAAACAGG